UACGUAGGGUGCGAGCGUUAAUCGGAAUUACUAGGCGUAAAGCGUGCGCAGGCGGCUUCGCAAGUCAGGCGUGAAAUCCCCGGGCUUAACCUGGGAAUGGCGUCUGAAACUACGGAGCUGGAGUGUGGCAGAGGGAGGUAGAAUUCCACGUGUAGCGGUGAAAUGCGUAGAUAUGUGGAGGAAUACCGAUGGCGAAGGCAGCCUCCUGGGCCAACACUGACGCUCAUGCACGAAGCGUGGGGAGCAAACAGG
rnacentral:rRNA from 1 species